rnacentral:ncRNA from 1 species
AACCGCUAUUGUAAGGUAGCGCUGAGCACACAGAAUUCAGCAGAGGUCAUAGUAGCUGAGAAGUGAAGG